rnacentral:rRNA from 1 species
UAUGUAGGGUGCGAGCGUUGUCCGGAAUUACUGGGCGUAAAGGGCUUGUAGGUGGUUUGUCGCGUUGUUCGUGAAAUCCCGUGGCUUAACUGCGGGCGUGCGGGCGAUACGGGCAGACUGGAGUACUGCAGGGGAGACUGGAAUUCCUGGUGUAGCGGUGGAAUGCGCAGAUAUCAGGAGGAACACCUAUUGCGAAGGCAGCUCGCUGGGACGUAACUGACGCUGAGACGCGAAAGCGUUGGGGAGCAAACAGG